CCCCACUGCUAUCGAGGUGGGACUAAGCCAUGCUAGUCGAACGACCCGGACUAUGGCGGGGAGUGGCAGACUGCUCAGUAACACGUAGCUAACCUACCCUCGGGACGGGGAUAACUCCGGGAAACUGGGGCUAAUACCCGAUAGGUGUGGAUUCCUGGAAUGGUGCCAUGCCUAAAUGUAAGCACAUCCAUGUUUUGUGUGCACGCCCGAGGAUGGGGCUGCGGCCGAUCAGGCAGUUGGUGAGGUAACGGCUCACCAAACCUUUGACCGGUACGGGCCAUGAGAGUGGUAGCCCGGAGAUGGGCACUGAGACAAGGGCCCAGGCCCUACGGGGCGCAGCAGGCGCGAAACCUCCACAAUUCACGCAAGUGAGAUGGGGUUACCUCGAGUGCCGUCUGAAGAAGGCGACUUUUCCAUGGUGUAACAAGCCGUGGGAAUAAGGGGGGGGCAAGACUGGUGUCAGCCGCCGCGGUAACACCAGCCCCCCGAGUGGUGGGGAUGAUUAUUUGGCCUAAAGCGUCCGUAGCCGGCUUUGUAAAUCUCUCGUUAAAUCCAGCGUCCUAAGCGUUGGGCUGCGAGAGACACUGCAGAGCUAGAGGGUGGGAGAGGUCAGCGGUAUUCCUGGGGUAGGGGCGAAAUCCAUUGAUCCCAGGAGGACCACCAGUGGCGAAGGCUGCUGUCCAGAACACGCCUGACGGUCAGGGACGAAAGCUGGGGUAGCGAAUCGGAUUAGAUACCCGAGUAGUCCCAGCCGUAAACGAUGCAGGCUAGGUGUUGGGUCGGCCACGCGCCGCCUCAGUGCCACAGGGAAGCCAUUAAGCCUGCCGCCUGGGGAGUACGG
rnacentral:rRNA from 1 species